rnacentral:rRNA from 1 species
AUGUCUUCCUCCGGCUCCUUCUCGCCUAGUCUCAAUAGUCAGAUUACAGAGAAGCUGUCUCGCACGAAUUACGUGUUGCGGCGCACGCAGAUCACACCUCAGCUGCGCGGUGCCGGUGUCUUCGGCUACGUCGACGGCACCAACCAGGAGCCGGCCAAGCUCCUCGUCACCACCAAGGAUGGCAAGGAGACUUCAUCGCCCAACCCUCUCCACCCUGUGUGGGUACGGAAGGAUCUCCAGGUCCUUGGCUACCUGCUGAAUAACCUCAUGAAAGAGGUCCUGGUGACGGUGACCACGGUCACCACGGCAAGCGUGCUCUGGACGAUGCUUGCUGCCAUGUUCUCGUCACAAUCGGCGAGUCGCGUUAACAACAUCCGCACCUUCCUCAUCAACGCGCAGAAGGGUAACCUCUCGGUUGCCGCCUACUUCGCCGCCAUGCGUGGCUAUGCCAACGAGCUGGCCACGGCGGGCAAGGCUAUCCAGGAUGAUGAGCUUGUCUCGUACAUCAUUCAUGGGUUGGAUGCGGACUAUCAGCCUUUGGUGUCGGCUCUCGAUGCCCGUGUCACCCCUAUGACUCUUGAUGAGCUCUUCGCCAUGAUGUCCAACUUCGACCAGCGCGUGGCCCAGUAUCACGGCUCCGGCGGCUUCAAGUCUUCUGCAAACAUGGCGUCUUGCGGUCGGGGCGGUGGAUCCCGCUCGCGUGGCUCUCCCCGCAACAAGGGGCGAUCUGGUGGUAGCGGCGUGAACGACCGCGGCUACUCUCCUCAGCGUUCGGGCGGCCGAGGACGCGGUCGCGGGCGUGGCGGCGGCAACAGAACACGCCCGAAGACCCCAAGGUGCCAGAUCUACAGGAAGCCGGGACACACAGCAAAAGAUUGCUGA